GACGAACGCUGGCGGCGCGCUUAACACAUGCAAGUCGAGCGAUGAAAUUUCGACAGAUCCCUUCGGGGUGAAGAUGAAAUGGAUUAGCGGCGGACGGGUGAGUAACACGUGAGUAACCUGCCUUUGACAUUGGGAUAGCCUCGGGAAACUGGGAUUAAUACCAAAUGACACUAACUGAUCACAUGAUCAAUUAGUCAAAGAAAUUCGGUCAAAGAUGGACUCGCGGCUGAUUAGCUAGUUGGUGAGGUAACGGCCCACCAAGGCGACGAUCAGUAGCCGGCCUGAGAGGGUGAUCGGCCACAUUGGAACUGAGACACGGUCCAAACUCCUACGGGAGGCAGCAGUGGGGAAUAUUGCACAAUGGGGGAAACCCUGAUGCAGCGACGCCGCGUGAGCGAAGAAGGCCUUCGGGUCGUAAAGCUCUUUUAUGAGGGAAGAUAAUGACGGUACCUCAAGAAAAGGCCCCGGCUAACUACGUG
rnacentral:rRNA from 1 species